rnacentral:tRNA from 1 species
UCUAAUAUGGCAGAUUAGUGCAUUGGAUUUAAACCCCAAAAAUAUAGGAUGAACCCUUUUUUUAGAA